rnacentral:rRNA from 1 species
UACGAAGGGGGCUAGCGUUGUUCGGAUUUACUGGGCGUAAAGCGCACGUAGGCGGCUUGUUAAGUCAGGGGUGAAAUCCUGGAGCUCAACUCCAGAACUGCCUUUGAUACUGAUAGUCUUGAGUAUGGGAGAGGUGAGUGGAACUGCGAGUGUAGAGGUGAAAUUCGUAGAUAUUCGCAAGAACACCAGUGGCGAAGGCGGCUCACUGGCCCAUUACUGACGCUGAGGCACGAAAGCGUGGGGAGCAAACAGG